rnacentral:rRNA from 1 species
GACGAACGCUGGCGGCGUGCCUAAUACAUGCAAGUCGAACGCAGUGGGGACGGGUGAGUAACACGUGGGUAACCUCCCAUCAGAGGGGAUAACACUUGGCAACAGGUGCUAAACCGAUACUGAUGGAUGGACCCGCUGUGCAUUAGCUAGUAGGUGAGGUAACGGCUCACCAAGGCCACGAUGCAUAGCCGGUCUGAGAGGGUGAUCGGCCACACUGGGACUGAGACACGGUCCAGACUCCUACGGGAGGCAGCAGUAGGGAAUAUUGGGCAAUGGACGAAAGCCUGAUCGAGCAACGCCGCGUGAGUGAAGAAGGUUUUCGGAUUGUAAAGCACUGUUGUUGGAGAAGCGGUAUCUAACCAGAAAGCAACGGCUAACUACGUGCCAGCCGCCGCGGUAAUAC